GUGCAACCAAAUAAAUAAAUAAAUAUAUUUUUAAAAAAAUCUAUUUUCCCCAUGGGGGCCCGGUGUGCAAUGGCUGCAAACAGCAGCCUCCUCGGUAGUGUAUUCAGCCUGUUGCCUGUAUGGGUUGCCCUAAGGGACCCUGGAGACAGCC
rnacentral:snoRNA from 1 species